UGUGCACACCCAAAAGUCAAUAUAUACAUAGCAAAUUCCCAUCUUUAGAGGUUUACAAAGUCCAAUCAAGAAUACUCACAUAGCAGCAAAUAAUCAUAUUUAUUUCUUGUUCUUUUAAAGGACAAGUACAAAGUAAGAUGCUAACUAUCCAAUGACGCGCCAUUUUAAGAAUCAAUGUAAUAACAAUGGGAACAUAUUCUUCAUAAGUACAUAAACAAACUUCUUAGUCAUCCUAGCAGAGGAUUUAAGAACACGUUAUGCUGUCAAUGGAGCAAAUGGAACAACACUUGCUUCCUGCAGUAUCCAAAAGGACAAAAGCCACAAGUCGUCACAGCGAGUUCAUGAAACGUGAAAUUCCGCAAUGAAGAUUUAACCACUGAAACACUAACUUACUUUGUUAUAUGGGUUCACUUCA
rnacentral:lncRNA from 1 species